GACGAACGCUGGCGGCGUGCUUAACACAUGCAAGUCGAACGGAAAGGCCUGCUUUCCCUUGUGGAUUGCGGGUACUCGAGUGGCGAACGGGUGAGUAACACGUGAGUGAUCUGCCCCCAACUUGGGUAUAAGCCUGGGAAACUGGGUCUAAUUCCCGAUAGGACUGCAGGGUGGUGCCUGUGGUGGAAAACGAUUUUCUAGUGGUUGGGGAUGAGCUCGCGGCCUAUCAGCUUGUUGGUGGGGUAAUGGCCUACCAAGGCGGCGGCGGGUAGCCGGCCUGAGAGGGUGGACGGGCACAUUGGGACUGAGAUACGGGCCAGACUCCUACGGGAGGCAGCAGUGGGGAAUAUUGCACAAUGGGCGGAAGCCUGAUGCAGCGACGCCGCGUGGGGGAUGACGGCCUUCGGGUUGUAAACUCCUUUCGACCGCGAGGAAGCCACCUGGUUGGAAGGGUGGUGACGGUAGUGGUAGAAGAAGCACCGGCUAACUACGUG
rnacentral:rRNA from 1 species